AAGACAUGGUCCUUGAGAUGAAGAAGCCUGAACUCACAAAGAUAUAAAAUAAGCAUAAAGAAACAUGUUAAGCGACAAAAGGCUGGGGGAAACAAGGACAGUUCAUGGACGUAGUGACAUUUAAGUAAGGCUUUUGAGAGAGUAGUAUUUAAAUGGGUAAGGAAGUAGAGAGGGGGCCAGGUGUGGUGGCUCACACCUGUAAUCCCAGCACUUUGGG
rnacentral:lncRNA from 1 species